rnacentral:rRNA from 1 species
UCCACUUUUCUGCUAGUUGGAGUGUAUGUGGAUGACCGUGUCAUUACCGGCACGGACAAAGGGCUAAUCAGAGAGUUCAAGGAUCAUAUGAAGAUGCUUUUCAAGAUGAGUGACCUUGGAUUACUAUGCUACUACUUGGGGAUUCAGGUAUCCCAAACAGAGGGUGAAAUCACACUUCAUCAGCGGAGUUAUGCGGAGAAAAUCCUUGAGGUAGCCGGCAUGGAAGAGUGCAACAGUAGCAGCACUCCAAUGGAGUGUCGUUUGAAGCUCAGGAAGGAGGAUGAAGGCGAGCUGUUUGAUCCCAAGCUGUACCGCAGUGUGAUAGGCAAUCUUCGCUAUCUCGUCAACACAAGACCUGACAUCGCACAUGCCGUGGGAAUUGUAAGCAGAUUCAUGGAGACCCCGAGCACUCAUCAUUGGGCAGCC